UGGCUCAGAACGAACGCUGGCGGCAGGCCUAACACAUGCAAGUCGAGCGCACCUUCGGGUGAGCGGCGGACGGGUUAGUAACGCGUGGGAACAUACCCUUUUCUACGGAAUAGCCUCGGGAAACUGAGAGUAAUACCGUAUAAGCCCUUCGGGGGAAAGAUUUAUCGGGAAAGGAUUGGCCCGCGUUAGAUUAGAUAGUUGGUGGGGUAAUGGCCUACCAAGUCUACGAUCUAUAGCUGGUUUUAGAGGAUGAUCAGCAACACUGGGACUGAGACACGGCCCAGACUCCUACGGGAGGCAGCAGUGGGGAAUCUUAGACAAUGGGCGCAAGCCUGAUCUAGCCAUGCCGCGUGUGUGAUGAAAGUCUUAGGAUCGUAAAGCACUUUCGCCAGGGAUGAUAAUGAC
rnacentral:rRNA from 1 species